AGCGGUGAAAUGCGUAGAUAUUAGGAGGAACACCAGUUGCGAAGGCGGCUCUCUGGACUGUAACUGACGCUGAGGCACGAAAGCGUGGGGAGCAAACAGGAUUAGAUCCCCUGGUAGUCCACGCUGUAAACGAUGAGUACUAGGUGUCGGGGGUUACCCCCUUCGGUGCCGCAGCUAACGCAUUAAGUACUCCGCCUGGGAAGUACG
rnacentral:rRNA from 1 species